CUACGGGUUGCUGCAGGCGAGAAAACUUUGCAAUGUGCGAAAGCACGACAAGGUUAAUCCGAGUGGUUUCUGCUAAAGGAACCUUUUGUCGGUCCUAGAAACACCGAUGAAUAAGGGGUGGGCAAGUUCUGGUGUCAGCCGCCGCGGUAAAACCAGCACCUCAAGUGGUCAGGAUGAUUAUUGGGCCUAAAGCAUCCGUAGCCGGCUCUGUAAGUUUUCGGUUAAAUCUGUAUGCUCAACAUACAGGCUGCCGGGAAUACUGCAUAGCUAGGGAGUGGGAGAGGUAGACGGUACUCGGUAGGAAGGGGUAAAAUCCUUUGAUCUAUUGAUGACCACCUGUGGCGAAGGCGGUCUACCAGAACACGUCCGACGGUGAGGGAUGAAAGCUGGGGGAGCAAACCGGAUUAGAUACCCGUGUAGUC
rnacentral:rRNA from 1 species